rnacentral:rRNA from 1 species
AACGUAGGACGCAAGCGUUAUCCGGAAUUACUGGGCGUAAAGCGCGUGCAGGUGGUUUUAUAAGUCACUGUUGAAAGCUCCCGGCUAAACUGGGAGAGGUGCGGUGAGACUGUAGAGCUAGAGUUUGGGAGAGGGGUGCGGAAUUCCGGGUGUAGUGGUGAAAUGCGUAGAGAUCCGGAGGAACACCAGAGGCGAAGGCGGCACCCUGGCCUAAUACUGACACUGAGACGCGAAAGCAUGGGGAGCGAACGGG